rnacentral:misc_RNA from 1 species
GUUAUCCAGAAUUCUUGGCAUUUUUUGAAUACUGACAGUUUUGGUGUGCUGAUUGCAAGUAACUUUUUGGAUAAGUUAUGAUCAAAAUUUGGGUUUGUUCUCUUCAUGAAAGUUGUAGGGCUACGUAUCAGCUUUCCAUCGGUAUAAGAUUCAGGUCAUUUGGACCUUCCUACACUAAGUUAUAGCCAAAUGAAUGAACACUGUUUAUUUAGUUAUUUUUGUACAGUGGUAGUGUGCCAAUUUCGGGUUUAACCUAAUUGUUCACUAACUUAAUGUCACUUUUAGGGCAUGUUUUUUGCAAAAAAAUUGUGGCAUUAUGUGUUUACUUUUAUCUUCAAUUGGACUCACACCAAUUGGAGUGGCAGAA